rnacentral:rRNA from 1 species
CCCUAUGGGGUGCAGCAGGCAAAUGAUUCCCGCGGCGGAGAGAUAGCUGUCGGCGAUUUUCUGGAUGAAGGCAUCGUCCAGCUUGUCGUAUCCGGGCGCUCCUUUUGCUCUCUUGAGCUCGGUUUUCAGCGAUCUUUUCAGCGCUUCCAGGGCGGCAUCAAUGUUUUUAAUCUCUUCCUGCGUCAAUUUCAUAAUUAUUCUCCUUGGUUGUUUAUAAAUGACCCCUUCGGGAACGACCCCUGCAUAUUUCACCUUACGGCGAUUGUUUAUAAUUGAUUACGGCUAUAAGUUUUAGCUUCUAAUAAUGAUAUGUAGACAUCUACUAUCAGAUGAGGGGCAAAAGAUCAAUGAGAUUAUUGUUAUGAGAAGGCCUUUCGGAAUUGGCGGGAGAGC